CAACCACAUAUCACAAACAGAUCUCGAAUCGUAAGAAGUACAAACUAAAUCAUCAUCAUCUACUGCUGCCGGACAACAAACACCAUGAAUCGUGUGUUGAUCAUCAUCCUUGUCGUCGCGGUUAUUGGCAUGCACUUUGGCGCUGAUGGGGCGGCCAACGGUGAGAAGAAGCUACAAACUCGGGCUGAUAUUUUGGACCAUGUGAAAAACUUUGGCAAAAAGAUAAAAAGUGGUGCGACGAAAGUUAGCCAUGCUAUCCAAAACGGCGUGAAGAAAGUAGGCAAAAUGGCUAAGAAUGGCAUAAAGAAAGGCAUGAAAAAAUUGAAUAAUGUGGUCCAAAAAUUAUAAAGAGAAAAACAACUAACGAUCCAAAAGCAAUAGCAUGUACCUCCCGUUUUUAUUGCGUACAUUGAAAGUUCAUUGAAAUCAACAAGCGUUUGUUUAAUAAUUAAUUACUAUGAGAUGACGACCGACUCGCAAAAGUAUGCUUUGACCGUGUGACCGUAAAUCAAAAGGCUCCAGAUUAGAAGUUUUAUUUUCUGUUCAUCUCAUAUCACAAUGAUAAACAGUACAAUAACAAAUAUGGAAUUCGUAAUUCAUGCGAGUGCAAGAAGAAUUACGCAACAUGUUGUUUGCCGAAGCGAGAAUGGUAAUCAUGCUGGUGACCACUGACAUAUGACGACAUAUAUUUUUCUUUCAUGUUUACGAAAAAGCGACAUUCGGCUUGGUACUUUUGGUAUGACGGUCACACAUCUGUUAUAAACUUCUAAGACUUUAUCUGUGACACUUUUACAGCCAAAUAGAUCUAAGCCUAUCAAA